rnacentral:rRNA from 1 species
UACGUAGGUCCCGAGCGUUGUCCGGAUUUAUUGGGCGUAAAGCGAGCGCAGGUGGUUUAUUAAGUCUGGUGCAAAAGGCAGUGGCUCAACCAUUGUAUGCAUUGGAAACUGGUAGACUUGAGUGCAGGAGAGGAGAGUGGAAUUCCAUGUGUAGCGGUGAAAUGCGUAGAUAUAUGGAGGAACACCGGUGGCGAAAGCGGCUCUCUGGCCUGUAACUGACGCUGAGGCACGAAAGUGCGGGGAUCGAACAGG